rnacentral:lncRNA from 1 species
GGGAAGCUAUUUGUCAGUGAUAACCUGGCUAACUUUGGACAGCUGCAACAACAACAUCUAUCCCUUGGCAUAUGGUGUAUUUAGAUGCUAAACACUGCCUCAACUCUUACCUAAAGUUAACAUCUGAUGACGUGAUCACAACUCCAUAUCCUGAGUUGAUUUCAACCUAUGAUGUUGGAAUUUUCCACAUGGAGAUAAACACUGGGAAGCAGCUAAUCAUUCUCUCUGGAUUUAUAAGGAACAAAUGGAUAAGUGAAACUUGAAAAAAAUGGCCAGAGUACUAAGAACUAAUGUUUCUUCAAGGAAACAAAUACUUUUACUUUAAGAAUAGAAGAUAAAAGGCCAAAGUUGUAAUAUAAGACAAAUUAUGGAAAUAUACACUUAUACAUAUAAAACCACUCCUCUUUUUAAAAAAUCAUGCUUUUUAAGAAGAAUCAUCUCAUAUCGGUGAGAAAUAAAGUUAUCUUAAC